rnacentral:rRNA from 1 species
CAGCAGCCGCGGUAAUACGUAGGGUGCAAGCGUUAAUCGGAAUUACUGGGCGUAAAGCGUGCGCAGGCGGUUAUGUAAGACAGUUGUGAAAUCCCCGGGCUCAACCUGGGAACUGCAUCUGUGACUGCAUAGCUAGAGUACGGUAGAGGGGGAUGGAAUUCCGCGUGUAGCAGUGAAAUGCGUAGAUAUGCGGAGGAACACCGAUGGCGAAGGCAAUCCCCUGGACCUGUACUGACGCUCAUGCACGAAAGCGUGGGGAGCAGACAGGAUUAGAUACCCCUGUAGUCCCUGUCUCUUAUAC